UACGGGGGGGGCAAGCGUUGUUCGGAAUUACUGGGCGUAAAGGGCGCGUAGGCGGCGUGACAAGUCACUUGUGAAAUCUCCGGGCUUAACUCGGAACGGCCAAGUGAUACUGUCGUGCUAGAGUGCAGAAGGGGCAAUCGGAAUUCUUGGUGUAGCGGUGAAAUGCGUAGAUAUCAAGAGGAACACCUGAGGUGAAGACGGGUUGCUGGGCUGACACUGACGCUGAAAGCGCGAAAGCUAGGGGAGCAAACGGG
rnacentral:rRNA from 1 species